rnacentral:rRNA from 1 species
AUUGAACGCUGGCGGCAUGCCUUACACAUGCAAGUCGAACGGCAGCACGGGUGCUUGCACCUGGUGGCGAGUGGCGAAAGGGUGAGUAAUACAUCGGAACAUGUCCUGUAGUGGGGGAUAGCCCGGCGAAAGCCGGAUUAAUACCGCAUACGAUCUACGGAUGAAAGUGGGGGACCUUAGGGCCUCGCGGGAUAGGGUUGGCCGAUGGCUGGUUAGCUAGUUGGUGGGGUAAAGGCCUAGCAAGGCGAGGAUCAGUCGCUGGUCUGAGCGGACGACCAGCCACACGGGGACUGAGACACGGCCCAGACGCCUACGGGAGGCAGCAGUGGGGAAUUUUGGGCAAUGGGCGAAAGCCUGAUCCAGCAAUGCCGCGUGUGUGAAGAAGGCCUUCGGGUUGUAAAGCACUUUUGUCCGGAAAGAAAUCCUUGGCUCUAAUACAGUCGGGGGAUGACGGUACCGGAAGAAUAAGCACCGGCUAACUACGUG